rnacentral:rRNA from 1 species
AUUGAACGCUGGCGGCAUGCUUUACACAUGCAAGUCGAACGGUAACAGGCCUUCGGGUGCUGACGAGUGGCGAACGGGUGAGUAAUGCACCGGAACGUGCCCAAUCGUGGGGGAUAACGUAGCGAAAGUUACGCUAAUACCGCAUAAGCCCUGAGGGGGAAAGCAGGGGAUCGCAAGACCUUGCGCGAAUGGAGCGGCCGAUGUCAGAUUAGCUAGUUGGUGGGGUAAAGGCCUACCAAGGCGACGAUCUGUAGCGGGUCUGAGAGGAUGAUCCGCCACACUGGGACUGAGACACGGCCCAGACUCCUACGGGAGGCAGCAGUGGGGAAUUUUGGACAAUGGGCGCAAGCCUGAUCCAGCCAUGCCGCGUGCGGGACGAAGGCC